rnacentral:tRNA from 1 species
GCCUGGGUGGCUCAGUCGGUUAAGCAUCAGACUUUGGCUCAGAUAAUGAUCUCAUGGCUUGUGGGUUCCAGCCCCGCCUUGGGCU